UCCCUGAAACUCUCGGAAGUAUCAUAUGCCAUCCUUGCAUGAACAAGUCAACAAACACACACAAACACAUUUUGUAUAUGUAUGCUAAAGUUCUCUAUUAUAUAUUUGAGAGAUUCUUGUGAGAUGAUGCCUUCACUACUUUCCGCAAGGCAUUUUUGAAUAGGUGCGAUGAUUUGCAUCAUUUAUCAGCGGCUGAAAGAAAGUCAUAGAUAGGGCACAAGGAUAAUUGUAAAUCAUUGGGAGGCAUAACCUCUCCGACAGGAUUAUCCUUACCAGGUAACAAAUGACAAAUAUGCUUGUCCUUUAUGACUGCCUUCCAUUUCAUAUCUCGCAAAUACAAAUAAUGUUCCAGCACAAAUUUGUUUGGCAGAAAAUCUUGACGAGUAGCACAAUGAAAGUUCACCAACUGUGAGUAGCCGAGUAAUCUUUAUCACUUUGAUUAAUUCUCUCUGUGUUUUUCUCUAUGUACUUGUGUAUAUGUGUAUCUGUGCAUAUAAUCAUGGCAGAAUUUGGAAGGUAUUUUCGUUUAUAGGUUAGGUCUAAUGUGUUUGUACUCACCGCACCAAAGCAGAGGCCUGGAACGAGACCCUUAUUGAAGAAGCCAUAUGAUAGAAGAGAGAUUGCGGGGACAGAAUUGAUUAUGGCAAAUACAUCGUUCAG
rnacentral:lncRNA from 1 species